AUACGGAGGACGCGAGCGUUAUCCGGAUUCAUUGGGUUUAAAGGGUGCGCAGGCGGCCGUGCAAGUCAGCGGUGAAAGCCCGGGGCUCAACCCCGGAAGUGCCGUUGAUACUGCAUGGCUGGAAUGCGGUCGAGGCGGGCGGGACGGGGCGUGGAGCGGGGGAAUGCGUAGAAAUGCCACAGAACGCCGAUAGCGGAGGCGACUCGCCAGGCCUGCAUUGACGCUCGGGCACGAAAGCGUGGGGAUCGAACAGGAUUAGAUACCCUGGCAGUCCACGCCGUAAACGAUGGGCGCUCGUCGUCGGCGGCAGACAGUCGGCGGCCAAGCGAAAGCGAUAAGCGCCCCACCUGGGGAGUACGGUCGCAAGGCUGAAACUCAAAGGAAUUGGCGGGG
rnacentral:rRNA from 1 species